UGCGAGUUACGUAUGAAUAAUACGUGGCACACGGCUCAGUAACACGUAGUCAACAUGCCCAGAGGACGUGGAUAACCUCGGGAAACUGAGGAUAAACCGCGAUAGGCCAUAAUUACUGGAAUGGGUUAUGGCUUAAACCUAUAUGGCCUCUGGAUUGGACUGCGGCCGAUCAGGCAGUUGGUGAGGUAAUGGCCCACCAAACCUGUUACCGGUACGGGCUCUGAGAGGAGGAGCCCGGAGAUGGGCACUGAGACAAGGGCCCAGGCCCUAUGGGGCGCAGCAGGCGCGAAACCUCUGCAAUAGGCGAAAGCCUGACAGGGUUACUCUGAGUGAUUCCCGCUAAGGGGAUCUUUUGGCACCUCUAAAAAUGGUGCAGAAUAAGGGGUGGGCAAGUCUGGUGUCAGCCGCCGCGGUAAUACCAGCACCCCGAGUGGUCGGGACGAUUAUUGGGCCUAAAGCAUCCGUAGCCGGUCAUGCAAGUCCUCCGUUAAAUCCACCUGCUUAACAGAUGGGCUGCGGAGGAUACUACAAGGCUAGGAGGCGGAAGAGGCAAGCGGUACUCAGUGGGUAGGGGUAAAAUCCUCUGAUCCAUUGAAGACCACCAGUGGCGAAGGCGGCUUGCCAAUACGCGCUCGACGGUGAGGGAUGAAAGCUGGGGGAGCAAACCGGAUUAGAUACCCGGGUAGUCCCAGCUGUAAACGAUGCAGACCCGGUGAUGGGCCGGCUUUAUGCCGGCUCAGUGCCGCAGGGAAGCCGUUAAGUCUGCCGCCUGGGGAGUACGGUCGCAAGACUGAAACUUAA
rnacentral:rRNA from 1 species